rnacentral:lncRNA from 1 species
UUUUUCUGUGUGACAUUUGAAUUCAUCAGUAUUUUGUUGCUAUACAAUAUGUUUCACCCACGUAGGGCUUCAAGGAUGUGUGAGUAACCCCUGCAGCAGUGCAGGCGUUACUGCGUCACUCUGGUCCUACUAGGCAGCAUGUGUGGGCCCAGUGACGUUAAUGACGUGAGAGCAACUUCCUCAGGAUAAACCACAGCGUGAAGAAUGACAGAAAAAAAGAACAUCCUCUGCUCUCCCACAAGUACCUAACGUCCUCAGCUUUGUCCCUUUCCAUGCUUCAGUGCUUGUUUUCAGGAAGACUCUUGCUUCCUGCAUGAUGGAGUGGUGGAUGAGAGGAGGAAGAGGGGGAAGGGACUGGGAAGAAAAGGCACACUCACCCAGAUGGAUGAGGAUGCUCAAGUUUGGAAUUAUUAGGAAAUGGGACAAUCAGCACAGGCCAGGAAAACAAGCAGUGAGGGUCACAGACGAAAAGACAAGGACAUCCGAACCCCAUUCAUUCCUGUGCAUCCCUGAAGAAAGUGGCUCCUUCUCCCUUUCCCUGGUUCAGUUACUGCUGCAGUUAUUUCAGUUUCUGACCAGCUGUGGUGUGGGCUUGCAGUGGCAAAAUGACUUCUCGGCUUUGGAAGACAUGCCAACAUCAGUGCAUCAAACACAGCCGACUACACCUUCGCCCUGCUAACCCUGAGGUAGACUGCUGUGUCUCACUGAGUCACACCUGCAACUAUGAGGCUGAGUGGUAAAUUAUCCAGCAAGGAUCUGCUAAUUAUCAGACUUCAUGGGUGUCAUGGAUGUUGGAUGUCAUCUUCAUUAAGUGUCACAGGUAUUUGCUCUAUACAUUGAACUAAACUGAGAUGAACUAUGUAUAAACUACCUCUGAUUAAUGAAAUGGGUUAUAGACACUGACCACACAUCACAUUGAAGUGGUAAAGAUUUUUUUCUGUCACUAUUAAGGAUGAGGAGAGUAUCAUUAGUGGGAAGAUGACUGUGAAAUGGAAGGAGUGCUAGAGCAGAGCCCAUGCUCGUGAAUCAUCAGUUGGUCUCAAACCCUUUCCUGGGGUGAAUCCUUCUCCUGAACGAUCCAACGAAACCACUCCAUCAAACAGUGCAGGUAGAAAAACAAAUUGAGAAAACUGGAAGACAGAACAAAUUACAACAAAGAUGGCCGGUUGAAAGGUAUCGUGGUCAGAAAAUCACAACGCAGAGUCCACUUUUCCUCAUAAGCACAAAACAAACCUUUGAUUCUCUCCUUUUGUAUAACUAUUACUUGACUUUUGAUAACCAGAAGCCCAAAUAAACAUUUCACUGGACAGUCUCA